AGACAGCGUGUGUGCUUUUGACCAAUUAGAACACUCAUAACACCAGGGCAGAAAGACGUCCGUCUCUGACUAUAAAAGUAAAGAGGCACAGGAAGAAGCACCAUUUUGGACUGCAGAUCCUCUGACAAACAGAUGCAGACGGAUCUUCUCAUUCACAUGCAUGCGUGUUUCCUGGUUGGGAAACAUUCUGUGAUUGUUUUAUUUCUGUGUUUACAAGAGGACUGGUACCUGGGAACUCAAAAAUGGCAGACUCUACAGAAUCUCACGCAAGGUACUCUACGACAAAAAAAGAAUAUUCAUCUAACUGGUUAGAUAUAAUUAAUGCCAGUGAACAUAAAGCAACAGAACCCAUAGAAAAAUACCUAGUGAGCACAGUCAAGCAAGUUCUGGAUGAAGAUGGACAAGUCAGGAGAUACACCUUUGGGAGAAAGGACCCUAAAAAAAGGAACAGAACAAUCCUGAUAGUGGGAGAAACAGGAACAGGGAAGUCUACACUGAUCAAUAGGAUGCUCAACUACAUGCUGGGUGUAAAGUGGGAAGACAACAUCAGGUUUGAAAUCAUUCCAGAUGUAGACAAAAUAGACGAAACUGAAUCGAAAACCAUUGAAAUUACUGCUUAUGAGAUUUUUGGACUGGAGGAAGUUCCUUUUUCCCUCACAGUCAUUGAUACACCAGGAUUUCACGACUCAACGGGUCACAAGAAAGAUAAAAUCACCACU